GCCACCUCUCCCUCUGCCACUCUCACGCCCGACGCCUCUCGCCGUCAUCGUCGCGGCCACCGUCGUCUCCGGCAUGCGGGAGCACAUCCAGGAGGUCCGCCGCGGCCGGCUUCGUCCGUCCCGGGGACUAGCUCAAGCCAGGACGCCCUCGAGCUGACGUCGUCUUCGUCCCCUUCGUCCGGCCGUCACCAACUCGCCGUCGUUGCGGUGGCUCCGGUCCACCCCGACCCUUCCUGAGCACGCCAAGGAUGCACUGUGAGCCCCUCCCCCAUCCCCCCUGCUUGCCCUCUCGAUCCGUUGCCGUAGCCGUCGUCCCCGAGUUCGUCCGAGAUCCCGCGUACGCGUACGCGUACAUACGUGCAUCCUGCCACUGCUCUCUGUCCUUGCUGCUGCCUUCGCUUUCCUGCCGCCGCCGCUAGCGCUAAUGCUUUGCGUUGCCACUGCUAGCUGCCGCUCCUGCUACCUGAUGCUACUGCCGCUGCUACUUGCCCAGCCUGUUGCUGUUGCUGCUGCCGCAAGCCGCUGCUCUGUUGGCUGCCGCUGUCGUCGGCGCUUCCUGCGUGUGCCCGCCAGAGCACCCCGGCCGCGCCAGCGCGUACGCGCGCCCGUCCGCCACGCGCGCGGCCUUGCCUCCCAUGCUACAGCGCCCGUGCCCGCGAGCCAGCUGCGGCUCGCCGCUGCCCGCUGCUGUUGUACUGAAUCUACUGCUGCUGCUGUUGAAUGCUACUGUAGAUGCUACUAGCUAGCCUUUCUAAUUCUACAUUGAUUAGACGUCUGAACUGCCCCUAAACUGCGGCAAAAUAACUGUCAACAAGAGUAAAAAUAAUAUGAGUAGAAAGUAUACAUGAGAAACUCCAUUUUAUCCCCCUGGACCAAAUCCCUUCGAUGCCUGGAUUAAAUCCUAUAAAAUUCGCAAAAUGCUAUGUUCAGAGAACAGAAUUAACCCCUAGCUACGUGCUGUGUGUGUGGCCGGCUUGGCCACGGCCGUGUGUAAACGGCCCUUGUUAGUGCUAGUUUAGGUUAGUGCUAGUUUAGGUUAGUAGUAGUUAAUCAGUAGUCUAUGUACAGAUGGCAUGUGGCCCCACUAGUUUAACUUAGUUUGGACUAAUUAAAUGGCACCUAUGACACUUACAUGUGGGCCACACCUGCCUCUUUGACUAGUCAAAUUUGACUUGGUCAAUUCGGAUUAAACUAAAUACAAAAAUCUAAAAAAAUUGUUAAAACUUUGAAAAAUCAUAUAAAAUAAACCGUAACUCCGAUUAAAAAGUUUUAUACAUGAAAAUUGCUCAGAACGACGAGACAGAUCCGAAUACGCGAUCCGUUCGUCUGCCACAUGCUCAUAACUACCUGAACAUGCAACUUUUUCCCUCCGUUUCAUCUGUCCGAAAAUGCCUAACUCUGGGAAAACUUUCCCGGAUGUUAUCCCCUUCGCCGGUAACGUGUAGCAUCGCGUUAGAACACGUCUAGCUCUUCCUGUUGUUCUGUUAUGGUCUUGCUUGCUAUGUAUUUACUGUUUCUUCCCUCUCUUCUCUCCGAUACACCCCGAGACCGCUGCCGAUGCCGCUGUGAUCGACUACGUCGACGACGACCCUCCUUGUCUGAGCAACCAGGCAAGCCCCCCUUCUAUCAUCCCAAUAUCGCCCAUUCUAUACUCUCAUGCUUGCAUUAGAUUUUGCUACUGUUAUUGUUUGCUCCUAUUCUGAUGCAUAGCCUGCUUUUGUACCUGCUUAUUGUUACCUACAUGUUUAUCCUAAACUGCUUAGUAUAGGUUGGUUAGUGAUCCAUCAGUGACCCCCACUUGCCCUUGUUGCCCCUGCUUCAUCAUCGACACCUCGAUCGACGUGAUCGACGACCAGAGCCCGACACCUCACAUCACAUCACGCCCCUUUUGUUGCUCGACUCUGCAGAGCUACUAUCGAGUGCCGAGGGUGAUCCCUCAUAACGCACUCCUGAUGAUAAUUCUGUAGUGUAGCUAUUCGGUCGUGGUCAUCGAGGGUGAUCUCCUCUUUCACCAUUCCCGAUACGGCUAUGUCGUUCAACACCUCAAGUGUGAACCUCGAGGGUGGUCCCUAUUACGUUCACCUUGAUGAUUACAUUGAGUGGAAUCCACCGGGGGUGAUUCCUCGGGUUUUCCCCUUGAUGUUUGGAGACACAGUUACCUUGACUUUACUGGAGACCGUUGUGAAAGCCGGGCGGGCCCGGAGAGCACCCGUGCGAUGUGACAGUGGCGGCUGGCUGUUUAGCGGUAUCACCCGGGAGGGGUGAUAGCUCCGGACUUGUCCCGACAGCCGUCACUCCUUUUAAUAAUGCACUAACAGGUUUGGGUAUUUGUUCUGAGUUGGCCUUUGGCCUUUACGCACUAACCAUCACGCGAGAAUAGUUAUGGGCCUCGACGUCGCAGUAUCAGCCGAAGCUUUGUCAGACGUCCAGUUCAGCAUUGUGGCACGGUCGGAUCGUGCUGGCCAUCCGAGGCGGUGCUGGUAUCCACCCUGCACACAACGAUCCGGAGUGCAACAGGCGAUGGGCCCAGACCCCCGAGUGCUUAGGAUGUAGACCGACGGGGACCUCUCUGCUGAGCCUAGGUCGGGCUGCGACGUGUUGAUCUUCCGAGGGCGGGCAUUGACCCCAGAUAGGUGUGUCCGGCCAGAGUGAUCGAGCGUGUUGGGUAACGUGGUGCACCCCUGCAGGGAAGUUAUAUAUUCGAAUACCGUGUCCACGGUAAUGGACGUUCAGACUUAUAUCCUGAUCUUAUACAACUACAAAUGGAUACUUGAGAUAUGUGGCUCCGGGAUUGCUUUCUCGCAGGGAGUCGAGGAAGGAUCUCUGGGCAUUAAUGUUACAACAUGCUUGUUAAUUAUAAACUGCUAUUCUUUACUCUUCUACAUGCUGCAAGAUGCUCGGAGCUGCGUGAAGAUGCUAGUCUUCGAUAGGCUAGGCUUCCCCCCUCUAUUCUGGCAUUCUGCAGUUCAGUCCACAGAUACAACCCUUCCAUUUGAUACAAAUGCAUACUUAGUAUAGAUCUGAUGUUUGCGAGUACUUUGGAUGAGUACUCACGGUUGCUUUGCUACCCCUUUCCCCCCUCUUUCUUCUUUCCGGUUGAUGCAACCAGAUGGUGGAUCCUUGGAGCCAGAUGCCACCGCCGACGAAUACUACUACAUGGAGGCCGACGAAGACCAGGAGUAGUUAGGAGGUCCCAGGCAGGAGGCCUUGCCUCUUCGAUCGUGUUGCUUUUGUGCUAGCCUUCUUAAGGCAAAACUUGUUUAACUUAUGUCAGUACUUAGAUAUUGUUGCUUCCGCUGAUUCUUGUGUAUCGAGCUAUGUAUUCGAGCCCUCGAGGCCCCUGGCUUGUAAUAUAAAGCUUGUAUUAUUUUAUUUGUGUCUAGAGUUGUGUUGUGAUAUCUUCCCGUGAGUUCCUGAUCUUGAUCGUACACGUGUAUGAUUAGUGUACGAUUAAAUCGGGGGCGUCACAAGUUGGUAUCAGAGCCGACUGCCUGUAGGAACCCCCUUUUCAACUCGUUGGCCGAAGUUGAGUCUAGUUUUGAAAAAACGGUUUUACUAACAUGGCUGUGUGGCUUACGGGCCCACGUCACCAAUUGGGUGGUAUUAGGAUCUUUUAUUCCUCGUCUAUACUCUGGGAAUCUGAUCUCUCUUUUAUUCGGGUUAAAUGGUUUUGCUAACUCUACCCUAGGUUCUCGUGCUCACAUCCACCCGGAGAUUUGUAUCUUUCCUUUCUUGAAUUCGGAGCCAAGAUCUGCUUCACAAUGUUCACUGACAUUAGGAUCCUCUUAUCGUGGGCACACUGUGUCGUCACUUGCAAAUCCCUCACUCUAGUGGUUAUCUUCGACGUUGAUGUAGCCGUUGCUAUGCCCCGUUGUUGAAUCCCUCCAUCGCGUGCAUACGUGCCGCCUAGUAUGUCUGGAUGUUUCUCUUGUCCGAACUCAUACGAACAAUGUGCAAUUGGCCCCACAUAUGUAUCAGUAUGUCCUUAUUGACUACUGCUUGGUACAUACUGCGCCUUUCCUCAUUGUUCUGAUUACAUCAUGAAUGACUCCACACACUUGCUCCACCCCUUGCUAAACUACCCCUGUUGCUUUUAAGCAGGGUGGUUAGACCCGCUGGUCAUGGUCGUGCUGGUAACAAUCCACCACCUCCCAAAUACAUGGCCGGAAUGGUACAACAGUUGAGCUGAAUCGCCAGUUCAUGAAAAGGAGUCAUGGCUCAGUUUGCGCAUCCCAAUAUGAACCAGCAACCAGCCCCAGCAACUCUGCGAGACUUUGCACGUCUCAACCCUGUCUUUGACCGUAGCUCAACUCAGCCCCUUGAUGCUGAUGAUUGGCUCCUUGAGAUCACUUUCGAGUUGGUGUCUACUAUGUAGCCCCUGCCAACUAUGUCACCUUCGCGGCUUACUACCUGAAAGGUCCCGCUACUCAAUGGUGGGACAGCCACAGGCGUUCCUUACCUGUUGGAACCGCCAUCACCUGGCCGGAAUUUCAAGCUGCAUUCCACGGGACAAUGUCGAACCACUAUGGUUAGCCUCAACGUCCCCGUUGAAAAUGAAGGGCCCGAAUUCCAUGUUUCCCCCAUUGUUUUGAAGUCUUCCUAUAUUGACCUCACUCUGGGAAUGGAAUGAUUGAAAACCCGUACCACUUCUAUCAAUUGCGCCAUUAAGACCGUCCAUCUACUACAUCCCUCAAGUGAGAUAGUAAGCUACCAUGCUCAUCUUGUUUGUAAUGCCGAAGCACAGAUUUAUUCCUUGAAUGCGUAAACGCUUCCCCUCUUGUGAGAAUUGAAAAUGCUCCCGUCGUAUGUGAAUUCCAGAAUGUCUUUCCAAAAGAACUACCCAGUCCAUGACCUUGAACUUGCUACAUUUAAGUUUGCACUAAAAUUGUGGCAACAUUUCCUUCUUGGUAAUCGUUGCGAGAUCUUUACCGAUCAUCAAAGUCUGAAGUAAUUCUUUACUCAGCUAGAUCUGGAUCUCCGUCAGCAGCGAUGCAUGGAAAAAAUCAUAGACUAUGACUAUGGUAUUUCUUAUACUCCAGCAAGGCUAGUGAGAUGGCUGAUGCCCUGAGUCGCAAGCCUUUUGCAACAACUCCAUGGCUUAUACAGCUCAACCCCUCCAGGAUGAUCUCGCUUAAAGAGAGCAUCCGAUCCGCGAUCUCGUUCAAGCUGAACGUCGCACUCGUCUGAGGGCUAUCAAAUUCUUAAAGUUCAAUGGUCAAAUCAUUCUGAAGAUGAAGUCACUUUGGAACUCGAGGUUCAUCUUCGAGAUGAAUACGCCGUUUAGUUUCCUUCUACCUCCUAAAAUCUCAGGACGAGAUUUCUUGUAGUGAAGGAGAAUGGUGAUGCCCGGAUAAUUAAGCUACAGUAAUUCCCCACUAAUGGUGCCAUGUCAUUACAUUACUGUUGCUGAUCCUCGCUUGAUCCAAAUCUUAGUUCAAACUCAAAUUCAAAUUAAAGCCUAGCAUUCAAAUUUCUCAAACAUGCAAAAUAAAAUGUUUAAAGUGUGGAAAAUAUUCCAUAACUAAUUAUGGUGGUGGCCCAACACUUUUGUAACAUACUUAAAUGCCCUUUGUGAAUAUAACAGUGACUAAAAAGAAUUUUUAAAUGCUUUUUAAAUUAUAAAAAUACUAAACUAUUUUAUUUGAACCUCAAACUAAAUAUGGAAGUGGUAUAAUUAGUGAAACCAAUUUAGGUGGUGUUACUAUAUAUUAUAGAGCUAAUUUGGAAUACAAAAAUAAAAGAAAACAAAACAAGACAGAAAUAAAACAAAAGACCCCUCCCUUGGGACACCCGGCCUAGCUACCUAGAGGGCCUGCACAGCCCAGCCCAACACCCCCUGUUUUCCCUUCCUCCCGCUACAGAAGCAGAGGAUGCCGUGGCGGCCAUCCACGGCGCCAUGGACGCGGUGGCGACCAUCGGCGCCCCCCUCCCGCCUAUUUAGCCGACCCCCGGCGCCCCCUUCUCCCCCUGGAACCCUAAACCCUAUCCCCUCGCGCCCCCUCUCCCUCUGCCACUCUCACGCCCGACGCCUCUCGCCGUCAUCGUCGCGGCCACCGUCGUCUCCGGCAUGCGGGAGCACGUCCAGGAGGUCCGCCGCGGCCGGCUUCGUCCGUCCCGGGGACUAGCUCAAGCCGGGACGCCCUCGAGCUGACGUCGUCUUCGUCCCCUUCGUCCGGCCGUCACCAACUCGCCGUCGUUGCGGUGGCUCCGGUCCACCCCGACCCUUCCUGAGCACGCCAAGGAUGCACUGUGAGCCCCUCCCCGACCCCCCUGCUUGCCCUCUCGAUCCGUUGCCGUAGCCGUCGUCCCCGAGUUCGUCCGAGAUCCCGCGUACGCGUACAUACGUGCAUCCUGCCACUGCUCUCUGUCCUUGCUGCUGCCUUCGCUUUCCUGCCGCCGCCGCUAGGGCUAAUGCUUUGCGUUGCCACUGCUAGCUGCCGCUCCUGCUACCUGAUGCUACUGCCGCUGCUACUUGCCCAGCCUGUUGCUGUUGCUGCUGCCGCAAGCCGCUGCUCUGUUGGUUGCCGCUGUCGUCGGCGCUUCCUGCGUGUGCCCGCCAGAGCACCCCGGCCGCGCCAGCGCGUACGCGCGCCCGUCCGCCACGCGCGCGGCCUUGCCUCCCAUGCUACAGCGCCCGUGCCCGCGAGCCAGCUGCGGCUCGCCGCUGCCCGCUGUUGUUGUACUGAAUCUAUUGCUGCUGCUGUUGAAUGCUACUGUAGAUGCUACUAGCUAGCCUUUCUAAUUCUACAUUGAUUAGCCAUCUGAACUGCCCCUAAACUGCGGCAAAAUAACUGUCAACAAGAGUAAAAAUAAUAUGAGUAGAAAGUAUACAUGAGAAACUCCAUUUUAUCCCACUGGACCAAAUCCCUUCGAUGCCUGAAUUAAAUCCUAUAAAAUUCGCAAAAUGCUAUGUUGAGAGAACAGAAUUAACCCUAGCUACGUGCUGUGUGUGCGGCCGGCUUGGCCACGGCCGUGUGUAAACGGCCCUUGUUAGUGCUAGUUUAGGUUAGUAGUAGUUAAGUAGUCUAUGUACAGAUGGCAUGUGGCCCCACUAGUUUAACUUAGUUUGGACUAAUUAAAUGGCACCUAUGACACUUACAUGUGGGCCACACCUGCCUCUUUGACUAGUCAAAUUUGACUUGGUCAAUUCGGAUUAAACUAAAUACAAAAAUCUAAGAAAAUUGUUAAAACUUUGAAAAAUCAUAUAAAAU
rnacentral:lncRNA from 1 species